AAUGAUCUCCUGGUCGCCAAUUUCUGGUUUGAAGCUGAUUGAACCGGUUAGCUUCCAAUUGAGGCGAGUGUAGCACUGGUUUGACCGGUUCUGGCAAAUUGAACAUAUCUUCUGAUUUCCGUGUCCAUUUCUCCUGAUCUUUGGCUUUCUGGAAAGCUGAAAGAAUGCUCUUGAAUUUUAUGACGGUCUUUGCUUCAGGCCGCUCCUUACUUGAGCUUAAAUCUCCUUCUAAAGUCGGAUACUCGCAGAU
rnacentral:lncRNA from 1 species